rnacentral:rRNA from 1 species
AACGAACGCUGGCGGCAGGCCUAACACAUGCAAGUCGAGCGAGACCUUCGGGUCUAGCGGCGGACGGGUGAGUAACGCGUGGGAACGUGCCCUUUUCUACGGAAUAGCCUCGGGAAACUGAGCGUAAUACCGUAUACGCCCUUUGGGGGAAAGAUUUAUCGGAGAAGGUUCGGCCCGCGUUUGAUUAGGUAGUUGGUGGGGUAAUGGCCUACCAAGCCUACGAUCCAUAGCUGGUUUGAGAGGAUGAUCAGCCACACUGGGACUGAGACACGGCCCAGACUCCUACGGGAGGCAGCAGUGGGGAAUCUUAGACAAUGGGGGCAACCCUGAUCUAGCCAUGCCGCGUGAGUGAUGAAGGCCUUAGGGUUGUAAAGCUCUUUCAGCUGGGAAGAUAAUGACGGUACCAGCAGAAGAAGCCCCGGCUAACUCCGUG